rnacentral:rRNA from 1 species
AGCAGCCGCGGUAAUUCCAGCUCCAAUAGCGUAUAUUAAAGUUGCUGCAGUUAAAAAGCUCGUAGUUGAAUUUCGGGACCAUCAUGUCGGUCGUGCCUCGGUACGUACUGGCAUUGUUGGUUUCUACCUUCUGACGAACCAUGAUGUCAUUUAUUUGGUGUCGUGGGAAAUCAGGACUGUUACUUUGAAAAAAUUAGAGUGUUUAAAGCAGGCUCACGCUUGAAUACAUUAGCAUGGAAUAAUGAAAUAGGACGUUUGAUUCUAUUUUGUUGGUUUCUAGGAUCGACGUAAUGAUUAAUAGGGAUAGUUGGGGGCAUUAGUAUUCAAUUGUCAGAGGUGAAAUUCUUGGAUUUAUUGAAGACUAACUACUGCGAAAGCAUUUGCCAAGGAUGUUUUCAUUAAUCAAGAACGAAAGUUAGGGGAUCGAAGACGAUCAGAUACCGUCGUAGUCUUAACCAUAAACUAUGCCGACUAGGGAUCGGAUGAUGUUAAUUUUUAAUGACUCAUUCGGUA